AAAGGCAGCAAGGAAUUUGCUUCCUCAGUCCCCUGGGUAAGAUCAGAUGGCAAGAGUGUGGGGUAAAAGGGGCAGGACCAGGUUAUCCAUCCAGAGAAACGAGUGAUCAAAAACUCAACUCCAUUAGAGCCAAGUGAGAAAUUGGGGAUGAAGCUGGCAUCCAUCACAAUGAGAGGUUGAAGCAGAUGUUGCCCUUUCUCCAAUUGGAUAAUAAGAAUUUGCAGCAACCUGACUCAUGAAAGGGGGAAAAACCUAGCCAGAGAGGUCUGCCCAAAUUGCUGGAGACUGUUAAGUGUCUUGGAUCAAGUCACAUUCUCAGAAAGAGAAGCUGAAGAUUUUCUAGACCCCCUUCUCAUUAAAAGUUCAUCAAUCAGGAUCAAGCUUCACUUGAAAUCUUAUCAGAAGAAACACAUGAGAUUAAAGGUACUUACUUCAGAGUCUCCUCUGGAGCCUUGGGUUAUGGGGAGAAAUCACUGAUAACCAGUUUGUUGAUUACUGGCUAGCCUAAUUAAUAAAUUGAUUAUCAAU